AGAACCAAUGAUAACAUUGUAUUAUAAAUCAAGGUUCAUGAUGACUACUGUUUUGCACAACAGAAGCCCUUU
rnacentral:snoRNA from 10 species